UGCAUCGAUGAAGAACGCAGCGAAAUGCGGUAAGUAAUAUGAAUUGCAGAUUUUCGUGAAUCAUCGAAUCUUUGAACGCACAUUGCGCCCUGUGGUAUUCCAGAGGGCAUGCCUGUUUGAGCGUCAUUUCUCUCUCAAACCUUCGGGUUUGGUAUUGAGUGAUACUCUUAGUCGAACUAGGCGUUUGCUUGAAAUGUAUUGGCAUGAGUGGUACUGGAUAGUGCUAUAUGACUUUCAAUGUAUUAGGUUUAUCCAACUCGUUGAAUAGUUUAAUGGUAUAUUUCUCGGUAUUCUAGGCUCGGCCUUACAAUAUAACAAACAAGUUUGACCUCAAAUCAGGUAGGACUACCCGCUGAACUUAAGCAUAUCAAUAAGCGGAGGA
rnacentral:rRNA from 1 species